GGGGGUGUUCUGGAUUCUACCCUUGGUUGGAGUGCGCCGCUGCCUGUCGAGAGUCGUGGGUCUCUCGUUAACUCCCCUGCGAAACAAAUAAACGGCAAAACUGAAGAAAUGCCCCUGGCAGCCUAAGUGCAGCCACGUUGGUCUAGCGACACCUGCUAGCUGGAACUAACGUCGACAGCAGGCAUGGCGCGUGGAGCGGUCCGCGGACCGCGCGCUGUAUCUUCGAUCCGGGGACUGGCUGGUGUCUCAGCGCGCGUGAUGGCGUGGCACCGGCGAGAUCAAAGUCACGCUAAACAUGGUAGACGCGGUGCGCGAAGGUCAGGGGCACGCGGGUUCAACUCCCGCCACCUCCACCA
rnacentral:tmRNA from 1 species